AUGAAGAACGCAGCGAAAUGCGAUAAGUAAUGUGAAUUGCAGAAUUCCGUGAAUCAUCGAAUCUUUGAACGCAUAUUGCGCCCCCUGGUAUUCCGGGGGGCAUGCCUGUCCGAGCGUCAUUGCUGCCCUCAAGCCCGGCUUGUGUGUUGGGUCUCGUCCCCCUUCCCGGGGGGACGGGCCCGAAAGGCAGCGGCGGCACCGUGUCCGGUCCUCGAGCGUAUGGGGCUUUGUCACCCGCUCUGUAGGCCCGGCCGGCGCUUGCCGAUCAACCAAAACUUUUUUCCAGGUUGACCUCGGAUCAGGUAGGGAUACCCGCUGAACUUAAGCAUAUCAAUAAGCGGAGGA
rnacentral:misc_RNA from 1 species